rnacentral:misc_RNA from 1 species
GAUGAAGAACGCAGCGAAAUGCGAUAAGUAAUGUGAAUUGCAGAAUUCAGUGAAUCAUCGAAUCUUUGAACGCACAUUGCGCCCGCCAGUAUUCUGGCGGGCAUGCCUGUUCGAGCGUCAUUUCAACCAUCAAGCCCCAGGCUUGUGUUGGGGACCUGCGGCUGCCGCAGGCCCUGAAAACCAGUGGCGGGCUCGCUGUCACACCGGGCGUAGUAGAUUUUAUCUCGCUCAGGGCGUGCUGCGGGUUCCGGCCGUUAAAAAGCCUUUUUUACCCAAGGUUGACCUCGGAUCAGGUAGGAAGACCCGCUGAACUUAAGCAUAUCAAAAGCGGAGGA